rnacentral:rRNA from 1 species
GACGAACGCUGGCGGCGUGCUUAACACAUGCAAGUCGAGCGGAAAGGCCCUUCGGGGUACUCGAGCGGCGAACGGGUGAGUAACACGUGAGUAACCUGUCCUUGGCUUUGGGAUAACCCUCGGAAACGGGGGCUAAUACCGGAUAUGACUCUUGCCUGCAUGGGUGGGGGUGGAAAGUUUUUCGGCUAGGGGUGGGCUCGCGGCCUAUCAGCUUGUUGGUGGGGUAAUGGCCUACCAAGGCGACGACGGGUAGCCGGCCUGAGAGGGCGACCGGCCACACUGGGACUGAGACACGGCCCAGACUCCUACGGGAGGCAGCAGUGGGGAAUAUUGCACAAUGGGCGGAAGCCUGAUGCAGCGACGCCGCGUGAGGGAUGACGGCCUUCGGGUUGUAAACCUCUUUCAGCA